UACAGAGGUCCCAAGCGUUGUUCGGAUUCAUUGGGCGUAAAGGGUGCGUAGGCGGCGCGGUAAGUCGGGUGUGAAAUUUCGAGGCUUAACUUCGAAACUGCAUUCGAUACUGCCGUGCUUGAGGACUGGAGAGGAGACUGGAAUUUACGGUGUAGCGGUGAAAUGCGUAGAUAUCGUAAGGAAGACCAGUGGCGAAGGCGGGUCUCUGGACAGUUCCUGACGCUGAGGCACGAAGGCCAGGGGAGCAAACGGG
rnacentral:rRNA from 1 species